GCUUAAGUAACAGUUGAGGAGCUAAAAUGUGUUCUCAAAAAUGAAAAAUUACAAUAAAUUUAUUGAGUCUAUAAUAAUGUCACUGGAACUGUACAUAAAAAUUCAGGCCCGUAGCUACGGGGGGGCUAGUGGGGGCUGAGCCCCCUAUGGA